rnacentral:rRNA from 1 species
GACGAACGCUGGCGGCGUGCUUAACACAUGCAAGUCGAACGGAAAGGCCCUGCUUUUGUGGGGUGCUCGAGUGGCGAACGGGUGAGUAACACGUGAGUAACCUGCCCUUGACUUUGGGAUAACUUCAGGAAACUGGGGCUAAUACCGGAUAGGAGCUCCUGCUGCAUGGUGGGGGUUGGAAAGUUUCGGCGGUUGGGGAUGGACUCGCGGCUUAUCAGCUUGUUGGUGGGGUAGUGGCUUACCAAGGCUUUGACGGGUAGCCGGCCUGAGAGGGUGACCGGCCACAUUGGGACUGAGAUACGGCCCAGACUCCUACGGGAGGCAGCAGUGGGGAAUAUUGCACAAUGGGCGGAAGCCUGAUGCAGCAACGCCGCGUGCGGGAUGACGGCCUUCGGGUUGUAAACCGCUUUCGCCUGUGACGAAGCGUGAGUGACGGUAAUGGGUAAAGAAGCACCGGCUAACUACGUGCCAGCAGCCGCGGUGAUACGUAGGGUGCGAGCGUUGUCCGGAUUUAUUGGGCGUAAAGGGCUCGUAGGUGGUUGAUCGCGUCGGAAGUGUAAUCUUGGGGCUUAACCCUGAGCGUGCUUUCGAUACGGGUUGACUUGAGGAAGGUAGGGGAGAAUGGAAUUCCUGGUGGAGCGGUGGAAUGCGCAGAUAUCAGGAGGAACACCAGUGGCGAAGGCGGUUCUCUGGGCCUUUCCUGACGCUGAGGAGCGAAAGCGUGGGGAGCGAACAGGCUUAGAUACCCUGGUAGUCCACGCUGUAAACGGUGGGUACUAGGUGUGGGGUCCAUUCCACGGGUUCCGUGCCGUAGCUAACGCUUUAAGUACCCCGCCUGGGGAGUACGGCCGCAAGGCUAAAACUCAAAGGAAUUGACGGGGCCCCGCACAAGCGGCGGAGCAUGCGGAUUAAUUCGAUGCAACGCGUAGAACCUUACCUGGGUUUGACAUGGAUCGGGAGUGCUCAGAGAUGGGUGUGCCUCUUUGGGGUCGGUUCACAGGUGGUGCAUGGCUGUCGUCAGCUCGUGUCGUGAGAUGUUGGGUUAAGUCCCGCAACGAGCGCAACCCUUGUUCACUGUUGCCAGCACGUUAUGGUGGGGACUCAGUGGAGACCGCCGGGGUCAACUCGGAGGAAGGUGGGGAUGACGUCAAGUCAUCAUGCCCCUUAUGUCCAGGGCUUCACGCAUGCUACAAUGGCUGGUACAGAGAGUGGCGAGCCUGUGAGGGUGAGCGAAUCUCGGAAAGCCGGUCUCAGUUCGGAUUGGGGUCUGCAACUCGACCUCAUGAAGUCGGAGUCGCUAGCAAUCGCAGAUCAGCAACGCUGCGGUGAAUACGUUCCCGGG